AAUCUUUUAAUUAGCAAAAUUAUUCGAUUAAAUUGGUUAAAUCAUUUAAUUAGGCUAAUUGGAGUUAAUUAUCAAGAAUGAUCAAUCAAAAGUUAAUUCAAUGGAUUAAUUAAGUUAAUUAAAUUUAAUUAGCAAAACUAACAAAAAUAAUAUUUAAUCAAUUAAUUUUUACUAACUAAAAUAAAUAAAUAAAAUGCUAAUUGAGUUUUUUAAAAAUAAAAUUAAAAUUAAAAUAUAUUUGAGAAAAUAAAAUGAAAGAAAGGAUGAUAGAAGUGCAAU
rnacentral:lncRNA from 1 species